rnacentral:rRNA from 1 species
UAGGGAAUCUUCCGCAAUGGGCGAAAGCCUGACGGAGCAACGCCGCGUGAGUGAUGAAGGUCUUCGGAUCGUAAAACUCUGUUAUUAGGGAAGAACAAAUGUGUAAGUAACUAUGCACGUCUUGACGGUACCUAAUCAGAAAGCCACGGCUAACUACGUGCCAGCAGCCGCGGUAAUACGUAGGUGGCAAGCGUUAUCCGGAAUUAUUGGGCGUAAAGCGCGCGUAGGCGGUUUUUUAAGUAUGAUGUGAAAGCCCACGGCUCAACCGUGGAGGGUCAUUGGAAACUGGAAAACUUGAGUGCAGAAGAGGAAAGUGGAAUUCCAUGUGUAGCGGUGAAAUGCGCAGAGAUAUGGGGGAACACCAGUGGCGAAGGCGACUUUCUGGUCUGUAACUGACGCUGAUGUGCGAAAGCGUGGGGAUCAAACAGG